UUCCAAUCUGGUUGGCAAGUUAUUAUUGAUUAUCUUUCUGCAUUUUCACUAACAUCUCCUCCCCAUCCCUAAUGCUUCCCUCAGAAAGGAUUGAAGUAAUGUAAACUGUAGAUCAAAAGACAAACCAGUUAAAGAAAAUUAGAGAAAUAGACCCUUGAACCAAUUUCAGUUUAGGAAUACUAGUGCAACUAUUGUAUAAUUGGAAUUUAAUUAUGUCGUGACUCCAGUGUUUGUUCCUCGAUCCACUCCCCUUCCCUAUUAUUACUCCAUAGGGCAGCUGCUGUCUCCGGUUCCUCACUACCCAGUUGCCUGAAGCCUGCAUUGCCAACUACACUACCUCAUUUCUUUCAUAAACAGCAGAAUAAGUAAAAAUCCACAUUAAUAAACCACUAACGUAUGGGCUACAGGGGGAGAAGAAGAUCUGAGAUUAGCAGUUCGAAUUCAACCCAAUGAGGACAGCCAAGGAGCGUAGCUGAGGGAGACAAUCGUUAUAAUUUGUUGACUAGUUUUAAAUCUGCGUUGCUGAUAACAUUUUAUGUUUAGCUGGUAGCCAUAUGCCCUAGCUAACAUUAUGAGACAAGAUAUGUGCCAUAGUGCUCUGUAACGAAAGUACUAUGAGUUGAGUAUGGAGUCUUGUUAGCUGUGUGUUUUACACAUUACUUUUCCAGCGUAUUGCUCGUUCUUUUCCAAUGGAGAAAUCUUAGAGUACACUCCAUGUAUUCAUUUUCUUUCUCAAGACACAUAAAGUGUCAUCUAUCAACUUGAUUUAUAUACUUUAAUAAAUUAUUUUCUUUUUAGCAAUUUGUUGUUUGAUUCUAGAAACAAGGGAAAAGAAAUGAGGUGAUCCUGCUUGCUCAUGUGCUAUGUUUGUCUUCUGUUUGCUUCUUUCUAUCUUGUGUUUAUCAAAUACUGCUAUCAAUUUCUCUUAGGUGAAUGAAAAUGAGCAACCCAUUCCUCCCUGCUUCUCCUUCUGUUAUCUCUCCUUUUCCUUCUGUAGGAACCUGCAAACAACACAGAACAUUCACACAGCUAAAGACCAAAAGUGCAGAUCUGAAGAAAAUAAAACGCAACACAUUUUUAGGCCGAAGCCCCGAGGUUCAGCGAUCAACAAGACCGCCUAAUCCCCGUUGAGCAUCCACGGAGGAAUAAGCUCGAAUCCACUAAAUCAGCCAGCCAAAACCAACAAAGUAUCGAUUACAACGGAACACACAGUUCCACAAAUUUCGUACAGCACGACACAACAACUUCUCUACACAACAAGAACUCACACAAGAGUUCACAGAACUAAGUUUUCUCUACAAAGAUCACUCAAAAUCAAAACCCAAAAAAUCACAAGAAAAAUACAGAGAGAAAACUCAAAACGAGAAGAAGCUGCGCGAAUAUGAAAAAAAAAGGGUUCUCUAACCCUAGAGUCUUUUGACUCAAUUAAAAGGGGCAGCUCAAUCAUCUCAAUCCAACGGCUCACCAUUCACCACGCGUUGACGAUCCAUAAGAGUUGUUAUUUUAAAACUGAAAAUGUGUUUUUGUUAAAACCAAAUUGGUUCCAGAUUCUUCCAUUAAAUGGGCUGUCAAUUGGGUCAUGAGCUGGGUCUUUACUUGGGCCACUUUAAGUAGCUGGGCUGGACUCCACAAAAGCAGCAACAUACUUCACACCUUCCUUCUCUCACUCUUUCCCCCUGAAACAACAAAGCCAUUGUAAAGAAUAUGUUUCAGCCAUGCAAUGCGAACUAUAAAGGGUUCCCCACCACUAUUUUAUGAUUCCUAGCUUAGGCUGUAUACAAACACGAAUUGAUGACUUCAGAAUAACUUAAUUUCUGUCCAUUUGACAUUUCUAGAUGCCAAUCUUCGAGUAGCUAUUUAUCAUAUUUUUACCAGUUUGUUGUCUAUUGGAAUCCCAAGUUCUUAAGAAAAUGAUUUUACUGCAUGCUUGUAGCAUAAGG
rnacentral:lncRNA from 1 species